AGAGUUUGAUCAUGGCUCAGGAUGAACGCUGGCGGCGUGCUUAACACAUGCAAGUCGAACGGGGAAACAUGAAAGAAGUUUUCGGAUGGAAUUUAUGUUUUCUAGUGGCGGACGGGUGAGUAACGCGUAAACAAUCUGCCUUAGAGAGGGGGAUAACAGAUAGAAAUAUUUGCUAAUACCGCAUAAGACCACAGGUAGGCAUCUACUAGGGGUAAAAGGAGCAAUCCGCUUUAAGAUGAGUUUGCGUACUAUUAGCUAGUUGGUGAGGUAACGGCCCACCAAGGCGACGAUGGUUAGCCGGCCUGAGAGGGUGAACGGCCACAUUGGAACUGAGAUACGGUCCAGACUCCUACGGGAGGCAGCAGUGAGGAAUAUUGGGCAAUGGGCGAAAAAGCCUGACCCAGCAACGCCGCGUGAAGGAAGAAGGUUUUAGGAUUGUAAACUUCUGUUGUAAGGGAAAAAGAAAGUGAUGGUACCUUACGAGGAAGCUACGGCAAACUAUGUGCCAGCCGCCGC
rnacentral:rRNA from 1 species